rnacentral:lncRNA from 1 species
AGAUACUAGCUAAGAAGCUGUUGCAACAAUGAAAGAAGAAAUGAUGAGAACCUAAACUAAGGCAAUACUAAUAGAAGCAAAGAGAAGGGAAGAGAUUUCACAAGUUUAUAAGAAGAAAGUGGUAGGACUUGAAAGUUAAUUGGAUGUAAAGACCAAAGCAAGGGGCAGUCAAGGAUGGCUCCUGGAUUUCUGGCUUGAGAGACUAGGUGGAUGAAAGAGCAGGUAGAAUGAGAAAGAUGAUGCUUUCAGUUUGGGAUAGGUCAAGUUUUGGGUCCCUUAUAGGUCUUUCAGGGAGAAAUGUCUAGCAGGGAUUUGGAUAGAAAUGUCUGGCACUCAGGAGAAAUAGAGAUGAGAACACCAAAGACAGAAUAUAUGGUUCUUCUAGAAGAUCCACUUUCAAUUUUACUAAAGUGAAUGACCCACUUUGAUGAAAAGAAUAAUGACUUCUAAGGUCUCUUACAACUCUAAUGUUACAAUUCUAUUGUUCCAUCUGGAAUUGCCUUUUGAAGACAGCACACCUGUGGCCUAAAACUUCCUUGGUGAACAUGUGAAAUAUUUUUUAAUGAAAGCCCAUUACAUAUAAAGCCAUACAACCCCAAACAUGCAGUGAUAAUGCUUAUAGCAAAGAAAAACCAAGUAAAGACACUAUCUACAUUUACCUACUCUGAUCCCAAUUGGCUGCAAACAGCAAAAGAAUCUUCCUGCCGUAAUGGUCUCGGUUUUCCAGCACCCCGGGGAACCCAUCGAUCAGAGCCCUCUUAAUGCCGGGAUCAUCUGCCUUGAAGUUUUUGAACAUGUCCAGGUUUAGCUGGCGGUACUGGAAAUACUGAGCCAGGAGUCUAAAGGCAUCCGCUUGGUGAAACUUCCUGGCUCGGAGAAAUCUCAGGAUGAAGGCAUCAUCUGUACGUAAAAAUCCAAUGUCAGGCCUGGUGAUGAUCAUGUCCCUGACUUGCUGAAUAUCCUGAUGUAAAACAUCGGGGUUUUCAUUCAGUUCCAGGCGAGCUUUCUCUAUAGUCUCUGGACUGAGUCCAGCCUGUAAAUGGGUCAUCUUGGCCAAAUCUCCGUUCCAAGUGUUUAACUUCUGAUAUUUUGGAAGAAGAGAGACUGGUCCCAUUCACCUGAUGGUCUGCUGAAACUGUGGCCCAUUCAACAGUGUUUUACUACCAGGCUGCCCCGGAACAGACAAAUAGAGGGUCUUCUUUCACAUUCAGGCCCUAUGUGGUGGUGUUCAUCCAAAACAGAAGCAAAACUGAGGCCAUUGCUUACUGAAAAACAAAUACACACAAAAGAAACAGAAGAGAGAUGAUACAAAGAAAGGAUCCUGCAAUAGACAG